rnacentral:tRNA from 1 species
GGAUUAUAGCUCAGUGGUAGAGUGCUUGCCUGGCAUGUGUGAGGCACUGGGAUCGAUCCUCAGUACCA